GGGAGGAGAAAGGAAGUAAUUUUUAAAGAAAGGAAGUAAUCAUAUGUGUCUACUUCACUGUGAGCUUCAGCGAUGUGAGUGUCAUUCAUUAAUGAGAUGAGAACUAGGGACGAGUGGGAGAGGAAGCCCACUCAGACUCAGCUGACAGAGA